rnacentral:rRNA from 1 species
GGGCGCAUAAGUAACAGGUCGUAGACCCGAAACCAGGUGAUCUACCCAUGUCCAGGAUGAAGGUAAGGUAAUACUUACUGGAGGUCCGAACCCACGCACGUUGAAAAGUGCGGGGAUGAGGUGUGGGUAGCGGAGAAAUUCCAAUCGAACUUGGAGAUAGCUGGUUCUCUCCGAAAUAGCUUUAGGGCUAGCCUCGAGGUAAAGAGUCAUGGAGGUAGAGCACUGUUUGGACUAGGGGCCCUUCUCGGGUUACCGAAUUCAGAUAAACUCCGAAUGCCAUGUACUUAUACUCGGGAGUCAGACUGCGAGUGAUAAGAUCCGUAGUCGAAAGGGAAACAGCCCAGACCACCAGUUAAGGUCCCCAAAUAUAUGUUAAGUGGAAAAGGAUGUGGGGUUGCUUAGACAACCAGGAUGUUGGCUUAGAAGCAGCCACCAUUGAAAGAGUGCGUAAUAGCUCACUGGUCGAGUGACCCCGCGCCGAAAAUGUACCGGGGCUAAACAUAUUACCGAAACUGUGGAUGAACCUCUUUAGAGGUUCGUGGUAGGAGAGCGUUCUAAGGGCGGUGAAGUCAGACCGGAAGGACUGGUGGAGCGCUUAGAAGUGAGAAUGCCGGUAUGAGUAGCGAAAGAAGGGUGAGAAUCCCUUCCACCGAAUAUCUAAGGUUUCCUGAGGAAGGCUCGUCCGCUCAGGGUUAGUCGGGACCUAAGCCGAGGCCGAUAGGCGUAGGCGAUGGACAACAGGUAGAGAUUCCUGUACCAGUGCUAAUUGUUUAACCGAUGGGGUGACACAGAAGGAUAGGGAAUCGCACGAAUGGAAAUGUGCGUCCAAGCAGUGAGUGUGAG